GAACACCAGUAGCAACGAACAAGCGAAAAAGCAACCUUAUUAUUGAUUUUAUUUCGACAUAAACACAACAUUAAACCUCACCCUUAGACCCAAUCAACAUUAAACCUCACAUUGCAACUUCACUAGCCUUCCUUUUGAUUUUCCCAAGCUUGUAAUAAGAAGGUGCAUAUCUUACUUUUCUAUAACCUGCUUUGCUUGACUUUUUGGUCUUACCCAACUUUUCUUCAAGCUCCUUCACUCUUUCAGUCAAGUUGGAUAUGACAGUGAGUUGAUCUUUUCCAGCUUCCAUAAGUUUCUCCAUCAUCUCGUUCAAUUUCUUGUUCUCUUCAACCACCUUAUUAUCUUCUCCAAUCUUCGCUACAUUUGGUUUCCAAGAAGCAUCGGCUUGAAGCAGCUUGUUCAUUUCCUUUUCCAGCUUUGCUUCUUCCUUCUCUUCACUUCCUACUGGCUGCUCUGCAUCUUUCAUCUCCUCAAACAAUACUAGUUUCUCCUCAGUUGCUUCGCUUCCUGCUUCUGAUUCGGAUGAUGCCAUAUGAUCACCAGGAAUCACACCUGAAUCAUCCUCAUGUCGUUGCAGGCCCUCAUUAUUUUUUUCACCUAUUGUUGAGUGGAUUUCCUCCGGUUUAAAGAACAUUGUGCAUUUGUUGUCGUCCACCUCCUCUUGGCUGAUCUCUACUUCUUUCUCAUCCCGUGCAGUAGCAACGAACAAGCAAAAAAGCAACCUUAUUAUUGAUUUUAUUUCGACAUAAACACAACAUUAAACCUCACCCUUAGACCCAAUCAACAUUAAACCUCACAUUGCAACUUCACUAGCCUUCCUUUUGAUUUCCCAAGCUUGUAAUAAGAAGGUGCAUAUCUGACUUUUCUAUAACCUGCUUUGCUUGACUUUUUGGUCUUUUUGGUCUUACCCAACUUUUCUUCAAGCUCCUUCACUCUUUCAGUCAAGUUGGAUAUGACAGUGAGUUGAUCUUUUCCAGCUUCCAUAAGUUUCUCCAUCAUCUCGUUCAAUUUCUUGUUCUCUUCAACCACCUUAUUAUCUUCUCCAAUCUUCGCUACAUUUGGUUUCCAAGAAGCAUCGGCUUGAAGCAGCUUGUUCAUUUCCUUUUCCAGCUUUGCUUCUUCCUUCUCUUCACUUCCUACUGGCUGCUCUGCAUCUUUCAUCUCCUCAAACAAUACUAAUUUCUCCUCAG
rnacentral:lncRNA from 1 species